GUGGGGAAUAUUGGACAAUGGGCGAAAGCCUGAUCCAGCCAUGCCGCGUGUGUGAAGAAGGUCUUCGGAUUGUAAAGCACUUUAAGUUGGGAGGAAGGGCAGUAAGUUAAUACCUUGCUGUUUUGACGUUACCGACAGAAUAAGCACCGGCUAACUUCGUGCCAGCAGCCGCGGUAAUACGAAGGGUGCAAGCGUUAAUCGGCAUUACCGGGCGUAAAGCGCGCGUAGGUGGUUUUGUAAGUUGGAGGUGAAAUCCCCGGGCUCAACCUGGGAACUGCCUCCAAAACUGCAUGACUAGAGUACGGUAGAGGGUAGUGGAAUUUCCUGUGUAGCGGUGAAAUGCGUAGAUAUAGGAAGGAACACCAGUGGCGAAGGCGACUACCUGGACUGAUACUGACACUGAGGUGCGAAAGCGUGGGGAGCAAACAGGAUUAGAUACCCCAGUAGUCC
rnacentral:rRNA from 1 species